rnacentral:rRNA from 1 species
GUAAGUAUAUGGCCCUUACGCCGGGCUCACACGUACUACAAUGGUAGGGACAGAGGGCUGCAAACCCGCGAGGGCAAGCCAAUCCCAGAAACCCUAUCUCAGUCCGGAUUGGAGUCUGCAACUCGACUCCAUGAAGUCGGAAUCGCUAGUAAUCGCAGAUCAGCAUUGCUGCGGUGAAUACGUUCCCGGGCCUUGUACACACCGCCCGUCACACCAUGGGAGUUUGUUGCACCAGAAGCAGGUAGCUUAACCUUCGGGAGGGCGCUUGCCACGGUGUGGCCGAUGACUGGGGUGAAGUCGUAACAAGGUAGCCGUAUCGGAAGGUGCGGUUGGAUCAAUCCNCNNCAG